rnacentral:tRNA from 1 species
CAAAAUAAAGCUAAAGUUUAGCGUUUCAGUUACAUUGAAGAGGUUAUCGUGAUCGAUUUAUUUUGA